UUGUAAAUACAAAAGAGAAUGUAGAAAUCUUUUGUAAAAACAAAAGAUAAAAUGUAAAUAUAUUAUAAUCUUUGAGUUAGCAUAUUGUAUGAGCGAGGAGGGCAUCAAUAUUCAUACAUCCUUGUUUCAUACAUUGCAAAUCCCAGAUCCGUGUGAAAAGAUUCCAGGUUUUCAAGGAUUUUGAAUUUUGGGAGAGUGAAAGCUAAUCUUAAAACCAAAUUAUUCGUAUCUUGAAUCAGGCAGUUGGUGACUCGAUGUCAAAUCCAAGUUCUGAACUUCCUACCACCACCCGCCCUCCUCCUCGCCGCCGGCGCUUCUCAUUUCCAUCAUGGAAAGGUGCAAAGCCAAUCCCACUAGCCAUAUCCAUAAUAAUAGGCCUAGUUUUCCGUUUCGCGGUCCCCAAACCUCACCAACUCACCACUAAGGCAUGGCAACUGCUAGCUAUCUUCCUUGCAACUAUCGCGGGCCUUGUACUAGGCCCGUUGCCCGUGGGUGCAUGGGCUUUUGUUUGUCUAACGGUCACUGUUGUCACUAAAACUCUAACAUUUGCAGCGGCAUUUUCUGCUUUCACUAACGAAGUCAUUUGGUUAAUUGUUGCAUCAUUUUUUUUCUCAAGAGGGUUUAUUAAGACUGGACUUGGUGAUAGAAUUGCUCUAUAUUUUGUAAGUUGGCUUGGGAAAAAUACAUUGGGAUUGUCUUAUGGACUAGUUUUGAGUGAGGCAGCAAUUUCUCCAGCAAUACCAAGUACAACUGCAAGGGCUGGUGGUAUUUUUUUGCCAAUAAUUAAGUCAUUGGCUGUCACUGCUGAAAGUCACCCAAAAGAUGGUUCUGCUAAGAAGCUUGGGGCCUAUCUUGUUCAAUCUCAGAUUCAGACUGCUAGUAGCUCAAGUGCCUUGUUCCUAACAGCUGCUGCACAAAACCUGUUGUGUCUGAAGUUAGCUGAGGGAUUAGGUGUAAAAAUACCAAGUAAAUGGGUCACUUGGCUCAAGGUUGCUUGUUUACCAGCAGUUGUGUCUAUUAUGGUAACUCCAGUUGUACUAUACAAGAUUUUCCCUCCAGAGAUGAAGGAUACACCAGAUGCUCCAAUAAUGGCUAAAAGGAGGCUGGAACAGAUGGGUAAAAUCAAAAGAGAUCAGUGGUUGAUGUUGAUAGUAAUGCUUUUAACUGUUGGGUUAUGGAUUGCAGGAGAGGCUCUCAAGCUAGCAAGUGUUAUCGCAGCAAUGCUGGGAUUGUCGUUACUUUUGGCUUUAGGAGUACUUGACUGGAAUGAUUGCUUGAGUGAAAAAUCUGCAUGGGAUACCUUAGCUUGGUUCGGGGUUUUAAUAGGCAUGGCGACACAAUUAACAACUUUGGGAGUUGUUGAUUGGAUGUCGAAGGGUGUGGCUCACUUCCUCGGUUCUCUUUCACUACAUUGGUCCGGGGCAUUUUGUAUCCUUCAAGCAGCAUAUUUCUUCAUCCACUACUUGUUUGCUAGUCAGACUGGUCAUGUUGCAGCAUUGUACUCAGCAUUUCUCGGAAUGUGCUUGGCAUCAAAAGCUCCCGGUCUCUUUGCUGCACUGGUUUUGGGAUACAACACUAAUCUUUUUGGCGCGUUGACACAUUACAGUAGCGGUCAAGCUGCAGUAUACUAUGGAGCUGGUUAUGUGGAACUACGCGAUGUCUUCAAACUAGGCAUCAUCAUAGCUAUAAUGAAUAUAAUCAUAUGGGCAGUAGUUGGAGUUGGCUGGUGGAAGAUUCUUGGCCUUUACUAAUACUGAAAUAAGAGUUUUCUGGUGCAAGAACUUCAGGACAGGCUGCAUUCAACUUAAAGGUUUAAUAAAAGAUCAAUUGGUGCAUUCUCCAAUAUUAUCCUCGGACUCUUCAAAAAUAUCGUUGGAUAUGUGUCGAAUCUUUCAAAAUUGGCGCAUUUUGGAGGAUCCGGCAAUAUUUUUGGAAAUUUUGAGAACCAUAUAUUAAAACUUCAGAAAAAAAUGAAACAAUAGAUUAGUAGGUGAUUUACCUUAGUGAAGCCGUUGUAAAUAUUUAUUUGAGGUGAAUAUUUUUCAAGGUCAAACACCUACUUAGACUUUCUAUCAAGUUAUUCAAUUUUUUGUGAA